CCCUUAGAUGUUCUGGGCCGCACGCGCGUUACACUGAUGCAUUCAACGAGCUUAUAACCUUGGCCGAGAGGCCUGGGCAAUCUUGUUAACGUGCAUCGUGAUAGGGAUAGAUUAUUGAAAUUAUUAAUCUUGAACGAGGAAUUCCUAGUAAACGCAGAUCAUCAAUCUGCAUUGAUUACGUCCCUGCCCUUUGUACACACCGCCCGUCGCACCUACCGAUUGGAUGGUCCGGUGAAGCCUCGGGAUUGUGGUUCUUGCCGCUUUAUUGUGGCGUGACCGCGAGAACUUGUCUAAACCGUAUCAUCUAGAGGAAGGUGAAGUCGUAACA
rnacentral:rRNA from 1 species